rnacentral:rRNA from 1 species
AGGCUACGAUCAGUAGGGGUUCUGAGAGGAAGGUCCCCCACAUUGGAACUGAGACACGGUCCAAACUCCUACGGGAGGCAGCAGUGAGGAAUAUUGGUCAAUGGACGAGAGUCUGAACCAGCCAAGUAGCGUGCAGGAUGACGGCCCUAUGGGUUGUAAACUGCUUUUAUAAGGGAAUAAAGUGAGUCUCGUGAGACUUUUUGCAUGUACCUUAUGAAUAAGGACCGGCUAAUUCCGUGCCAGCAGCCGCGGUAAUACGGAAGGUCCGGGCGUUAUCCGGAUUUAUUGGGUUUAAAGGGAGCGUAGGCCGGAGAUUAAGCGUGUUGUGAAAUGUAGAUGCUCAACAUCUGCACUGCAGCGCGAACUGGUUUCCUUGAGUACGCACAAAGUGGGCGGAAUUCGUGGUGUAGCGGUGAAAUGCUUAGAUAUCACGAAGAACUCCGAUUGCGAAGGCAGCUCACUGGAGCGCAACUGACGCUGAAGCUCGAAAGUGCGGGUAUCGAACAGGAUUAGAUACCCCGGUAGUCCGCACGGUAAACGAUGGAUGCCCGCUGUUGG